AGAUCAGAUUCGGCUGAUCUGACUGGCUAGGCGGGUGUCCCCUUCCUCCCUCACGGUUCCAUGUGUGUCCCUCCGGAAGCUGAGUGCUCGGUUGGUUGAAGAGGACGACCUUCCCCAAUAGAGGAGGACCGUUCUUCCGUCAAGGGUAUAUGAGUAGCUGCUCCCCCCACCAAAAAAAAAAAAGCCCACAGAGGAGAGAAGCCUGCAGACAAGAGCGCCAGCCACAGCUUCUCCCAGCACUCUGCUGAUUCCUGG
rnacentral:snRNA from 1 species